AUGGGGAGGAAGCACUACACAAGCCAGAAUGUGCUUGCUGCUGUUGACUUUGAUCCGAAGUUCACAUAUGUGCUGGAUGGCUGGGACAGGUCAGCGCAUGAUGCUAACAUUCCUAGUGAUAGCAUGAGUCGACCUAAUGGGAUCAACAUCCCCGACGGCAAGUUCUACCUUGGAGAUGUUGGCUAUGCAUGUCGGCCGGGUAUUCUUCCACCCUUCAGGAAAACCAGGUACCAUCUCAACGAGUUCUCUGGUAGGAACUAUCCUAGGACUGCACAUGAGUUGUUUAAUCUUAGACACUCCAGCCUUAGAGUAACUGGAGAGGGCAUUUGGAGCUCUAAAGAAUAG
rnacentral:rRNA from 1 species